ensembl:lncRNA
GAAGGACUGAUGCUAAAGCUGAAACUCCAAUACUUUGGCCACCUGAUAUGAAGAACUGACUCAUUGGAAAAGACCCUGAUGCUGGGAAAGACUGAAAGCAGGAAGAGAAAGGGAUGACAGAAGAUGAGAUGGUUGGAUGGCAUCAUCGACUCAAUGGAUAAGAAUACAUUUCAUUGAGCAGGAACUCUGUCUUGCUCAUUGAUGUAUUCCCAGUACCUCAAACACUGCUGAGAAACAUCCAGCUGGUUUUUCCAGUUGAAUUCUUGCUGCUGUUCUAAUCCAGCUCCUACAUGACAGCCAGGGCAGACUGCCAAAAACAGAUCAACACCUUGCUUAAAACCCUUCAGUGGUGUCCAUAGUGCAUGGACUUAUCUCUGGGCUUUCUAUUUUGUUCCAUUGAUCUAUAAACCAAUACAAUAUUGUAAAG